CCUACGGGAGGCAGCAGUGGGGAAUAUUGCACAAUGGGGGAAACCCUGAUGCAGCGACGCCGCGUGAGCGAUGAAGUAUUUCGGUAUGUAAAGCUCUAUCAGCAGGGAAGAAAAUGACGGUACCUGACUAAGAAGCCCCGGCUAACUAGGUGCCAGCAGCCGCGGUAAUACGUAGGGGGCAAGCGUUAUCCGGAUUUACUGGGUGUAAAGGGAGCGUAGACGGUCCUGCAAGCCAGAUGUGAAAGCCCGGGGCUCAACCCCGGGACUGCAUUUGGAACUGUAAGGCUGGAGUGUCGGUGAGGCAGGCGGAAUGCCUAGUGUAGCGGUGAAAUGCGUAGAUAUUAGGAGGAACACCAGUGGCGAAGGCGGCCUGCUGGACGAUGACUGACGUUGAGGCUCGAAAGCGUGGGGAGCAAACAGGAUUAGAUACCCGAGUAGUC
rnacentral:rRNA from 1 species